rnacentral:lncRNA from 1 species
AGUUGCCACAACCAUGGGUGAGGAAGAUUCAUUUAUAACCACAACCUUGAGCAAAGAAACUUCAACCAUCACCACAACUUUGGGUGGGGAAACCUCAAUGGUUAAUGUAAGUCUAGAUGAGGAAACUUCAAGCAUGGCUACCUUAGGUGAAGAAACUCUUAGCAUUCCCGCAAGCUUGGGUGAAGAAACUCCUAGCAUUCCCACAAGCUUGGAUGAAGAAACGCCUAGCGUUCCCACAACCUUGGGUGAAGAAACUCCUAGCAUUCCCACAACCUUGGGUGAAGAAAUUCUUACCAUUCCCUCAACCUUGGGCGAAGAAACUCCUAUCUAUCCUGUGACCUUGGCAGAAGAAACCCCUACCAUUACCAUAACCUUGGGCCAAGAAACUCCUGACUUACACACAACAUUGGGUGCAGAAACUCCAGUCAUUCCUUCAACCUUGGACAAAGAAACUCCUGUCAUUCCUCCAACCUUGGGUGAAGAAACUCCUGCCAUUCCUCCAACCUUGAGCGAUGAAAUUUCGACCAUCACUGUAACCCUGGGUCAGGAAACUCA